rnacentral:rRNA from 1 species
UACGGAGGAUCCAAGCGUUAUCCGGAUUUAUUGGGUUUAAAGGGUGCGUAGGUGGUCUAUUAAGUCAGGGGUGAAAGACGGCAGCUUAACUGUCGCAGUGCCUUUGAUACUGAUAGACUUGAAUGAACUAGAGGUAGGCGGAAUGUGACAAGUAGCGGUGAAAUGCAUAGAUAUGUCACAGAACACCAAUUGCGAAGGCAGCUUACUAUGGUUAGAUUGACACUGAGGCACGAAAGCGUGGGGAUCAAACAGG